UGAUUUUCCAAAUUCGCUGUUUUAGUUUAUAAUUUGCAUUGGUACUUAAAAAGUAAUCAUUAAUAAAAUUAUUUUAACUAUAUAACAUUUAGGCGAAAGAUAUACAUUGUAAAGGGUGGUUAAAACUCAUAAAUCGACGACAAACUGACGACUGCACAAAACAAACCACCAAACACAAAAAGCAACAUAAAAAAAAAAUAAAGACUAAGUGUGUGGAGCAGGAUCUGCUUACCCUUCCGGAGCACCUUGUUUAUUUUUUAGUUUACUAUGUUUUGUCAUGUGUUCUAUUGUUUGUCUGUUUGUCAUCUUUCAUUUUUAGCCAGGCGUUGUCAGUUUAUUUUCGAUUUAUGAGUUUGACUGUCCCUCUGGUAUCGUUCG
rnacentral:lncRNA from 1 species